rnacentral:lncRNA from 1 species
CAACUGUCUUCAUUCGUUGGUUUUAUUUUUUUAUUUUUAGAAGGUAGAAGGAAGAGAGAAGAAGAAAGAAAGUGAGAAGAGAGGGUGGAUUUGAUAAACCUCCCGUCCGGCUCACCUAUUCUAGAAGAGGCAGGAAGGUUGGAGAUCCAUCUGGAAGGAGUUAAAGAGCACCUAAUAGUUUGUUACGUGAAAUGGAAAUCUGUUGGGGGAGGAUUUGGGAGGGAAAUUCUGUUAAAGUAGCAACUAUAAAUAAACAUAGGGAGGAAGAGUAUAGGUAGGCAGUAAUUGAGAGUAGUAGAAGUGGUAGGGAUAGCAGAGUUCCUGAAUUUGGCUCUGUUAUUUUCUUUACUGUAAUCCGUUCUUCAAUUCAAUAAAAGUUCUAUUUGAGAUCUUAACAAAGUGGUAUCAGAGCACGUCGAGUCCUGAUAGCACAAAAAAAAAACAGAUAGCAAGGUGGAAGCCAUUGAUAAAGAGGUGGAGGAAAUGAAAUCAGAGUUGCAUCGUCUAGGUGAUUUGGAGAAGUCGGUGGAACAACUCUCACUGAGCAUGGCCAAGAUACUGCAAGCUGUGGAAGAAACGCAGAAAACCAUGAUUACUCUGAACCUCCCCAGAACAGCCAGGAGCAAAGGGGUGGGAGGAGAUGGAACGGGGAGUACGACAGAAAAGGGACUACCCACCAACGCUCUCCCAGGAUCCAUGAUGGAUCGCAAGGCAUCGAAUAAGAGGAGAUGGCCAGAAGGAUUGGAGGAGGCUAGCAUAGAAAGAACAAUGGCCACCGUCGAUCAAAGUUUGAUGGGAGGGGAUUGGCGUCGUGUGCGCAAGCUCGAGAUGCCGAUUUUCAGUGGUGAUGAUCCAGAUGGAUGGGUGUACCGAGCUGAAAGAUACUUCGAGAUUAAUGGGUUGACGGGGAAGGAGAAGCUGGCGGCAGUAGGGGUUAGCCUCGACGGUAGCGCCCUCUCAUGGUUACAAUGGAUGGAGGCAAGAGACCCAUUUAGAACUUGGGAAUCCUUCCGACAGAAGCUCCUAUUGAGAUUCCGGCCAACACAAGAGGGAAGUUUGUGUGAGAAACUUCUGGCUAUUCGACAAGAGAGGUCCGUUGAAGAGUACCGGAGAACAUUCGAAGCAUUGGCAGCUCCGUUGAUCGGUCUCCUUGAAGAAUUUCUGGAGAGUACGUUUAUUAAUAGACUCAACCUAACUAUAAAAGCUGAAGUUAGGCUGCAUCAACCAAAUGGGCUGGGCCGCAUCAUGGAGAUGGCCUAAAGGGUGGAAGAAAGGAACCAAGUAAUGAAGACCCUCCUCAAUCCUCAUGGCCAAAAAAUGAUUAAACCAAUUUCGGCUGUACAUUCAGGAGAGGCGAGAGGCGGUAAACCUUUCCCAAUUAGGUCAGUGACGGUAGGGGAGAAAACACCGUUCCCACGCAAGGAAACUCCAGUUCGGAGGUUGACUAAUGCAGAAUGGCAAGCAAGAAAAGAAAAGGGACUAUGUUUUCGUUGUGAUGAGAGGUUCACAAUUGGACACAAAUGUAAAAAUAAGGAGCUGAAGGUAUUAUUGUUACAAGAAGAAGAAGCCGAACCAGAGGAAAGCGAAGAGUCGCCGGCAACGGGCGACCCGCUGGAAGUGGUAGAAAUAGUAGAGCUGUCUCUAAAUUCGAUGGUAGGGCUCUCCACUCCAGGUACUAUGAAACUGUCAGGUGUGAUAAGGGGGAAGUGGUGGUACUUGUGGAUUGUGGGGCGACACAUAACUUCAUAUCAGCAGAAUUGAUUAAGCAGCUGGGAAUACCGACUGUGGCAACAACUAACUACGGAGUCGUUAUGGGGACUGGGGUGUCGGUCAAAGGAAAAGGGAUUUGCAAGAGGGUCAUGCUAGAGAUACAAGGGCUGAAAAUAGUGGAAGACUUUUUGCCACUAGAUUUGGGAAACACCGAUGUCAUCCUAGGAAUGUAGUGGCUGGGGAGCUUAGGCAGUAUGGAAGUCAAUUGGAAACUCCUCACGAUGAGUUUUCAAUUAGGAGAUGAGAUAGUUAUACUAAAGGGAAAUCAUAGGCGCAAUCAUACGGAAGUAUCUCUCAAAACUAUGGUAAAGGCCUUACAGCAAGAGGGUCAAGGGGUGUGGGUGGAGUUAAGAAGUCUAGGGGUAGAAGUAGGGGAAACUGAAAAUAAGCCACUACCUAUAGAAGUACAGCAAGUACUACAGAAAUAUGCUGCAGUUUUUGACAUGCCCAGGUCACUGCCACCAUCCCGGGAAAUUGAUCAUGCCAUCCCGUUGCAGGAAGGGACUGAUCCAAUUAAUGUGAGGCCAUACAGGUACCCUCACUUUCAGAAAAAUGAAAUUGAGCGCUUGGUCCAAGACAUGUUGAAUGCAGGAAUCAUACGGACUAGUACGAGUCCUUUCUCGAGUCCUGUGCUCCUAGUGAAAAAGAAGGACGGGGGCUAGAAGUUUUGUAUUGAUUACCGAGCAUUAAACAAAGCAACGGUUUUGGAUAAAUUCCCUAUUCCGGUCAUUGAUGAACUGCUGGAUGAAUUUCACGGGGCCACAAUAUUUUCUAAGCUGGACCUUAAGUCGGGAUACCACCAAAUUCGUGUGAGAAAGGAAGAUGUACCAAAGACCGCCUUCAGGACGCAUGAAGGACAUUAUGAAUUUUUGGUGAUGCCGUUUGGGCUAACAAAUGCCCCCGCAACUUUCAAUCCCUAAUGGAUCAGGUAUUCCGCGAGCACGUGCGCAAGUUCGUAUUAGUAUUUUUUGAUGACAUAUUGGUGUACAGCAAGGAUAUGGCAUCACAUGUCCAACACUUGGAAAAAGUCUUCAGGAUUUUGGCCUCCCAGCAGCUCUACGCUAAUGCAAAGAAAUGCCAAUUUGCCCGGACACAAAUUGAAUACCUCGGACACCUGGUCUCAGCAAUAGGUGUGGCCGCAGACCCAGACAAAAUUUCAGCCAUGACAAAUUGGCCAACGCCCAAAAACAUCAGGGAACUACGUGGAUUCUUGGGUUUGACCGGGUACUACCGUCGUUUCGUAGCAGGAUAUGGGGGAAUCUCUUGGCCCCUUACGCAACAGCUUAAGAAGGAUGCUUUUGGAUGGACAGUAGAGGCUGAGGCAGCUUUUCAGCAACUAAAAAAGGCCAUGUCUUCGGUGCUUGUGUUGGCCCUUCUUGAUUUCUCCAAACCUUUCAUUAUUAUUGAGGCAGACGCAUCGGGGUAUAGCGUGGGGGCCGUUCUGAUGCACAACCAGCAACCCAUAGCUUAUUUUAGCCAGGUUUUGUCCACUAGAUCACGCCUCAAGUCGAUGUACGAAAGAGAAUUAAUGGCAGUCGUCCUAGCUAUCCAGAAGUGGCGACACUACGUGUUGGGACGUCAUUUCAUAGUAAGAACCAACCAGCGAAGCCUAAAAUACUUACUGGAACAAAGAGUGGUUCAAGGGGAGUUCCAAAAGUGGCUAACUAAACUCAUGGGCUUUGAGUUUGAGCUCCAAUAUCGUCCCGGUUUAGAGAAUAAAGUUGCAGAUGCAUUAUCACGAAUAACUCCUCCCGUUGAGUUGUCAGCCAUCACAGUUCCAACUGUAUUAGAUGUUCAUAAGAUCUUGAGGCAGGUUGAGGCUGAUCCCCAACUAUCUAAAAUGAAGCAGGACUUAGCAGAGGACUCGGCCUCACACCCCUACUACUCCCUAGACCAUGGCAGACUGUUACACAAGGGGCGGUUGGUACUACCAGGUUCUUCCCCUCUGAUCCCCAAGCUCGUGCACGAAUUCCAUAGCAGCACUUUGGGAGGGCACUCAGGGUUCCUGCGAACUUACAAACGUCUCACGGGGGAUCUAUACUAGACAGGAAUGAAGAAGGAUGUGAAGAAGUAUGUUGAAGAAUGCCCUGUGUGCCAGAAAAAUAAAAGCCUCGCACUUUCUCCUGCAGGUUUGCCACAGCCUCUUCCUAUUCCACAACUGAUCUGGGAAAAUAUCUCAAUGGACUUCAUUGAGGGACUUCCAAAAUCCGGAGGCUAUGAUUCAAUUUUGGAGGUAGUAGACCGUCUAAGCAAGUAUGCUCAUUUCUUAGGCCUCAAACACCCCUUUACAGCAGUGAGUGUAGCUGGGGUUUUCAUCAGAGAGGUAGUAAAAUUACACGGUUUUCCCCGAUCGAUUGUCUCAGACCGUGAUAAGGUUUUCCUUAGUCACUUUUGGAGAGAGCUUUUUCGGCUAUAGGGAACUGUCCUCCGUAGGAGCACUGCUUACCAUCCUUAAACGGAUGGACAAACGGAGGUAGUGAACUAUUGCGUGGAAACUUACUUGAGGUGUUUCGCCUUUGACAAGCCUCGUAGUUGGUACACUUGGCUAGCUUGGGCCGAAUAUUGGUAUAACACCACUUUUCAUGCAUCAACCAACACUACUCCUUUUCGGGCUGUCUAUGGUCGCAAUCCCCCGCCACUCAUACGUUAUGGAAAUCAGCCUAUUUCAAUCUCAGAAGUAGAGUAGCAGCUGUCCAAUAGGGAUGAUAUCCUGAUUGAAUUGAAAUCACACCUUGAGCAGGCUCAAAACAAGAUGAAGAAUUCAGCUGAUCGACACCGACAGGAAGUUAUUUUCACGGUAGGGGAUCUGGUCUAUGUCAAACUCCGCCCUUACCGACUCCGUUCUCUAGCCAAAAAGCCUAAUGAAAAACUGAGCCCACGCUACUUUGGUCCCUUUCGAAUCUUGGAAUGCAUAGGACCUGUGGCUUACCGCCUGGACCUGCCUUCCAUAGCCACAAUUCACCCAGUGUUCCAUGUGUCACAGCUCAAAAAAGCAUUGGGACCUACUGAGAUAUGCCAGUUGUUACCUCCACAUCUUGACAGUAACUUGACUUGGAAUGUGGAACCAAAAAAGGUACUUGAGGUUCGACCAGCACCUGCAGACCCUCACUCAGGAUUCGAAGUUCUGAUUCAAUGGAAAGGGCUACCUGACUUCGAGGCUUCCUGGGAAUCAGCAGCCUCUAUCCUCCAACACUUUCCCGACUUCCACCUUGAGGACAAGGUGUCUUUGGAACCCGGGGUAUUGAUAAACCUCCCAUCCGGCUCACCUAUUCUAGAAGAGGCGGGAAGGUUGGAGAUCCAUCUGGAAGGAGUUAAAGAGCACCUAAUAGUUUGUUACGUGAAAUGGAAAUCUGUUGGGGGAGGAUUUGGGAGGGAAAUUCUGUUAAAGUAGCAACUAUAAAUAAACAUAGGGAGGAAGAGUAUAGGUAGGCAAUAACUGAGAGUAGUAGAGGUGGUAGGGAUAGCAGAGUUCCUGAAUUUGGCUCUGUUAUUUUCUUUUUUGUAAUCCGUUCUUCAAUUCAAUAAAAGUUCUAUUUGAGAUCUUAACAGGAUUCUCACAUUGGUUGAAAAUGAAAAGAAAAUGAGUUAUUAGUUCAUGAUUUGCAAAUUCGGCUUAGGCCUCAAGGGACACUUAAGUUUUGGGAAUGGAGAAGACUUCUUCUUGGUGAGUUUGGGCAAUACUCGACAUGCAGAGUCAUCGCCCUUUGACUUAGCUUGGUCCAUGAUCCAAUUAUUGUUUUAUGUUUGGUUUAAGAAUUGAUAUAAAUUUUUCAUUCGAAAAUUUAUAAAGUUUUAACCCAUUUUGUUUUGCUGAGUGGCGAUUUAAAAUUCAGUCUAGCACAAGUGACUGUCAAAAACAAAUCCAAUCAAACAUGAGUUUUGUGACUCACCCAGACUCGUGGGUGUUGCCGCUGCAGGAUGCUGCUCCAACCAUUUUGUCCCUUCAAUUUAAAUUCAAAUUUUGUGACUGUUGGAGGAAGCCCACUUGUCCUGUUUUCCGGGCAGUGUGUCCCUGAGGCUGAAAUGGUUAAUAUUUCAUAGAAAAGUCCUCUCCUUCAUAAUAGAGACAACCUUUCAUCUAAUAAUCUCAACUCUAUGUCAAACAACUCUUUGAAAGGAUAGUGGCCAUUGAACGAAUGGCCAUUAUUGUUGCCAUUUAAACACAUCAAUGCAAUAUAUUUUCUCCCUCAAUUUGUGCACAAAAAAUUCCUUUCAGUUUCUGUCAAACUAAUUCUUGAAAGUUUGACAAAAACCAAGAGUUCUGUUCUAUUGGUUCCACUGCCAUUGUGGUGCUAUUUCGUUUGAAACGAUGAUGCUUGCUGUUUUUGGAGGCAAUUUCUUAAGAUCUUAACCUUAGAGGGAGCAAAUUUAUCUUAAGAACAUAACACAAACUUGUCGGACUUGACUACUCUAAAUUCGAAUUUAAUUUGUUGACUUGUUCAAAAUUACUAGUGCAUUUUCUGUGAAUUUUAUACUGCGAUUAGAGAGUAAAAU